GGACCCGCACAAGCGGUGGAGCAUGUGGUUUAAUUCGAUGCAACGCGAAAAACCUUACCUACACUUGACAUACUUCGAAUUUUCUAGAGAUAGAUUAGUGCCUUCGGGAACGGAGAUACAGGUGCUGCAUGGCUGUCGUCAGCUCGUGUCGUGAGAUGUUGGGUUAAGUCCUAUAACGAGCGCAACCCUUACCCUUAUUUGCCAGCGGUUAGGCCGGGAACUAUAAGGGAACUGCCGGUAAUAAGCCGGAGGAAGGUGGGGACGACGUCAAGUCAUCAUGGCCCUUACGUGUAGGGCUACACACGUGCUACAAUGGGAGAUACAGACGGUUGCUAAAGCGCGAGCUGGAGCCAAUCCGACAAACCUAGUCGUAGUCCGGAUUGGAGUCUGCAACUCGACUCCAUGAAGUCGGAAUUGCUAGUAAUCG
rnacentral:rRNA from 1 species